AAGACACAUACCUAUAGACACCAGCUUGAUGUUCUCCCUGUCGAGGAACUCCAGAGCCACAGAGACGUUCUCCAGCUGCAUCUGUCUGAACGUGGGGCGCUGGUUGUACUUGCGGAACAUCUUCUUCUGGCUGAGCACCUCCAGAAGCGCGAUCAGCCGGAGCCCAUCGCUCAGGUCCGUCUGCAGAUUUUGCGUGCGGCACAGGCAGCAGAGAGUGAACUUCACUGUACCACAGAAUCUCACUGUAAGACCCUCCCGGACCGGACGAGAGUCUCUGGAGGAAAAGCUUGUUCGUUGAACUCGAGAAAAAAUGAACUGGUUCAAGAAGAUCCGGUUACAUCGAGUGAUUCGUUCGCGAACCGGAUAUCACUAAACUGCAGUGUUGUGAACGCGCUCAUAACAGACCCGGGAGAGAAGUCAAUGCUGAAUAAAGUCGUAGUUUUUGAUAUUUUUGGACCAAAAUGUAUUUUCGAUGCUUCAAAAAAUUCUAACGGACCCUCUGAUGUCACAUGGACUACUUUGAAGAUGUUUUUAUUACCUUUCUGGACGUGGACAGUAUACCGUACAUACAUUCUCAAUGGAGGGACAGAAAGUUCUCGGACUAAAUCUAAAAUAUCUUAUACUGUGUUCCGAAGAUGAACGGAGGUCUCACGGGUUUGGAACGACAUGAGGGUGAGUCAUUAAUGACAUAAUUUUCAUUUUUGGGUGAACUAUCCCUUUAAUAAGCAAUUCACCUAUCAUUCAUAUGUAUUUAGCAUUUAAUGUUGACAUUUUAUGCUACUGUUUAAUCUUAUGUUGUGUCGUCUUCACAAGGUAAAGAUUAGAGGAUGUCUCCAUCUCAAGGUUUUCAGCAUUACAGGACAGUGUUGUCCUUCUUCAUUGUGUAAAGUCAAGAGAAAAACACAUCUGCAUCAAACUGGAGUUAAUUAGUGUUGGGAAAGUCAUCUUACGUACAACAUUUACGUGUUUAAAGAAACACACUAUAGACACCAGCACCCACCUACAAACAUGUCUGAAGGCAGUGAAAGAGUCUGUACCAUCUGUUACUGUUUGAGAGGAUAUUACAGUAGAGUGAGUCAGAGCUGAAAGCUCUAGAAGUGUGUAAUGGGUGUCGUCAGCUCCAGUGCUUUAUACAGCGGCUUUAUUCUUCACUGCACAUCACAGAAAACAGAACGGCCUUACACAGAGAGAGUGAAAGAGAGAGAGAGAAAAGCCAGAACAUUGCAUUGCAUGGCUAAGGAAACAUUAUAUUAAACAGUGUUGUUAUCUUUGAUCUUCACCAUCCACUGGAAAGAAGUGUGACCAGUGAGCAAUGUGAUAAAGGUGAUCCAGUAAAAAAACUUACUUAAUCACUGAUGUCACACCCUUCAUAUCCGUCUCAUUCCGCCACACCUCAUUAAAAAACUAAAUGUGUCAUCAGGUUUUGGUAGCAUGACAAUAUAAAUAACAAGGCUUGUAGCUUCUCGAUGAUUCUCGUAAAUAAUCAUCUUUUCUUUUUUUUCUAUCUUUUUUCAUCCUCAAGCAUGAAACUUUCGGUAUAACCACUGCCUGCUGGUGACUCUGGGAGGGGAGCAGAUGUGGUGUUUGGAGCACAUUGUCCUUCCCUGGGGUAUCUGAAAAAAAAAAAAAGAGAAUUGGUCAAUUAACUUGUUCCCGGUCCUGUUUUUGGCAGGAAAGAGCCAUUCCGUUUAAACUCCAUCAUUCCCUCCAACCACCGAUUGGUUAAACUUCUCAAUAAGUAUAGUUAUAAGCUAUGGUGUUAUUUUUUUUUUUUUUUUUUUGAGUAGCCAAACUUUAAUCUCCAUGAGUCAGUCCAAGUUUAAAUAACACAAUGCAUAAUUGAAUAUCUCAAGGAUUAAAUAAACAUAACUUUCUGUGAUGAAUGUCUAUACACUACUGUUCAGAACUUUGGGAUUGGUAUGAUUUAUUACAAAUUUUUGAAAGAAAUCUCUUAUUCUUACUUUGCAUUUAUUUAAUAAUAAAAUUAUUUUUUGAAUUUGAAUAUCUGUGAUGCACAGCUGAAUUUUCAGCAGCCAUUACACUAGUAUUCAGUGUCACAUGAUCCUUCAGAAAUCAUUCUAAUAAUACAGAUUUAACACUUACAAAUUUAAUGCAACCUUGCUUCGUAGAUGUAUUCAUUUAUUUACAAAACAAUUUACUGAACCCAAACUUUGGAACAUGCUGGAUGAAGUUGAGCUAUAUACAAUCAGAUUAGUCCAACUUCACAAAAAAGAGACUCAUAUGAUUACAGACAGACAAAGGGUUUACACAACAUUUUUAAAGUGCAUGUAAAAGCACUAAAUGAGUGGUAUAAUUGCCCGUUAAGUUAACGAGCAAAUUCAAAAGUUAGUGAGGACUAAUAUUAAGUUGUUGAUUUUUAACUGAACUAUUGUUUUUUUACUGUGUGGCCUACACUGUUUAAGAAUAUUUUACUAUAAUACAUGCCCACUCUUGUCUCUCUCUAUCCUUGUGAUAGAUUGGAAUGAGAUUGGCUUUCAUUUAAUGCUGCUUGCUUGGAGAACAGAAUCAGCUGAUGAUGGAAGUGCCAAAAUUGUGUGCACUGAAAGAGAAAACUGAAAAUAUCAACACAGUAAAUCCAUAAGAUCAGAUAACAGAAAUCCUGAUAUGCAGAAAGAAUAUGAAAUCAUCCAUGUUUAAUCAUACUGAUGAUAAUAUCUUAGAAAGAGCCCACGUUUUCCAUUUUGAUGAGAUAUGCAUGAAUAAUUUCAAAUGAACAAUGUGUGCAUGACUACAACAAUCUCACUAAAGACAUGAACACAGUGCAGUCAAAAUUCAAACAUGAUUAUACAUUUAGUUUACAUUUGCUUUUCCUAAUUGUGUUUGAGUUGACUGACACAUACAUAACUACACUUUUUACAGUAAAGUUGUCAAUUUAAUUAGAGUAGAUUCUAUUCAAACACAAUUAGAUUAAUGUUAAUAGGGUAGAUACUGUUUGCACCAUUUAAAUAGCAACAAACAGCAUCAUGUUAGAUACAAUGACUAAUAUGUUAUUUAUACUAAAGUAAAAUAGUAAUGCAAAAUACUUGAACAAUGAAGGGUGGACUCAGGCCCUGCCUUUAUUUAAACAAAAUGUUCCUCUUUUUUAUGUUAUCAUAACAUUGUUAUCAUAAAGAUACAUAAUUUAAGGAUGUUCAAUUGUAAUACUUUUAAUGUUUAGAACUAAAAUGUUCCUCUUUUUAUGUUAUCAUACAUUGUUAUCAUAAAGAUACAUAAUUUAAGGAUGUUCAAUUGUAAUACUUUAAUUGUUUGAGAAUAUGGCAACAUUAACAGAAUCCACAAUUAAAGGGUUUCGGCAUCAGCCAAGUAUUUCAUUUCGGUCCAUCAGUAAUUCAGUCUGCUUACAUUCAUCCAAAAGUGUUGUGGGAAGAAGGAAAAGUAUAGGAAAACAAACUCACAGUGAAUAUUUACCCCUGAGGUGCGGAAAUGUGACAUUUUGGCAGUGAACGCUGUGGGCGAAAUCUUUGUAGUGUGCAAAAUGAGGCCCAGAAGUGAAAACAGAUAUUAAUGUCUUGAGGGAUUGAGAUAAUGACAGUCAAUGAACAUCAUCUGCACGUGAUAAUUUAUUCCUAGCUUACAGACGUCUGUCUGUGUUGCUUUCAAGGAAUAUGCUGAAACAUGCUCAGGAGGUUUGACUGUACAAGGGUCAGCUUGACACAAUAACCUGCAGAGCUGUGGUCGUGAUGUCUGAGACGCUCACUUUUCUUCCUUAUGCUCUCUCUUUCUUUUCUCUCUCACUCUCUGAUUCAUUCCAACUGGGAAGUCUGACCAUAUUAAGAACAUUGUGGGAUACAGGCACAGGCAAGUAAGCUUGACAAAUUACACAUUACGUCACACCCUGCCUUCUAGCGCAUUUCAUAUUGCAAACAUGCACAUAUAAAACAAUUUGCUGCCAGUAGUUGGUAAAUAGUAGUUCAUAUUCAGUUAACUAGAGACUGUUUUUAAAUCGAACGUUUUUUUGUCUUACACUUAUAUUGUGAGUCUUUAUGAGUGUGUUAUUCUCUUCAUCGCUGGCUUACAUGAUUCAUGAUGUCUUUAAAAGCUAAGCCUACUAAGUAAACUCUGAAUCACAUCCAAAUAAUCUUUUAUCAGUUUUCUUUCAAUACUUUUCCAAAAAUUCAUUCUUGCUUCUUUCUCAUUCAAAAGUUGUUUCAAUGACAACUUAUACCCACAGACCGACUCAUGUGCAGGCACAUGAUGGUGCAAAGUUGCACAAUUGAACGCAGAGACACACACUUACCCUUUUACUCUCCACAAACACAGCCAUAUAUGGUAAGCUGUGUUUGUGGAGGUAAGAGAGACAAGGAGAGUGAGAGAGAGAAAGAGAGAGAGAUCUGCUCUCACAGAGAACUAAACAACCCUCCAUCAUGAAAGCCUCUGUGCAUAGAUUAUUUCAGCCAUGCCUCGAACAGCCCUAAAAUCAUGUUGCUGUGUAAAGACUGUAUAAACAUUAUGAGCGGUAGCUGUAAUUUUUUCGCUUUUGGUGGACUGCAGGUUACAUCACUUGUUUGCACUAAAAUAAAGAAUGAUGAUCCCCUGCAGAGUUGCAGUGAGGAAGGAGGUCUGAUGUUUACUGAACAGAUGAGGAAUGUGGUUUUGUACACUCUCAUACCUACUCAAUGGUAGAAUUGUACAAAGUUUACUUCAUCUGGACAUACCAUGGAUGCUUACAGUGCAUAAUGAUAAGUUACAGCUGGUGGAAAUGAAUUCUUUCUUGAAAUUGGCUUGUAAAGGUUUGAUAUUUGAUACUCACAUCAGCAAACCUAAUCUGGGGAAGAAGAACAUAAUACAUACUAAUGAUCUAAAACAGAGUUCCCCAAACUAGUAUUGUGAGUAAUUAAAUCAUAACAAUCUAAAACAUAAAGAAAUAAAAAUAAGUAAAACAUCAAAUAAAAUAACCAAAUAAAACACUUACUAAAAGACAUCAAAUAUUUUAUUUAUUUGCAUGCACUGUGACCAUUAUUAACCAACUGAACUGUGAACAUG
rnacentral:lncRNA from 1 species